UGUAGGCGAGUAUCUGAAACCUCAUGUAAAUGUUUCAGUAAAUUAAAAUGUCAGUCAGGCGGUCAAUCAACAUAUAAUGUCAUCUUUAAGGUCAGAACAGCAGGAGCAGCUACACUCAUGUCUCUUUUAUCUAUUACAGGGCUUUUAGUUACAGGAAUUGUGUUGAUCGUGGUUGUGAUUGUGGGCCUGAUCAUUAUUGGUUUCCUGGUCAUGAAAAUCAAGAAGAAGAUCAAGAAGCGGGGAGCCAUACCAAAUCCUUCUUCUACAGAGUUGCUAGAGAGUGAACUGAUGAGGGACUGAUUGAUCUAAAUCAACCUUUAAAGUAGAAGACUUUAAACAGCAGUAGAGUCACUCAGACAUUAUAAACAUUACCGGAGAUUGAAGUGAGUCCAUGUGUGCUUUUCAGAAGUUAUACUCUUGAGCAAAACUUUUCAUUUGAUUCGGCAUAAAUAAACAUGCUUUCGCUGAAGUAUCAGUUUGCACUGAAGCUGAUGAUAAUGUUUUCAUGUUUUAAGAGACAGUUUGACUGAUUUAGUGUAUACUGAUAAAAAUUGUUUUGUGGUGAAGUACACUGUAAAAAAGAAUUUGAGUCACCUAAAAAUACUUUGUUACCCCGCUGCCUAAUUUUUUUUU